GACGAACCGUGCGAACGUUGUUCGGAUUCACUGGGCUUAAAGGGCGCGUAGGCGGGCGACCAAGUCAGGGGUGAAAUCUUUCGGCCCAACCGGAAAAGUGCCCCUGAUACUGGCCGCCUCGAGGGGGGGUAGGGGCAUGCGGAACUUCCGGUGGAGCGGUGAAAUGCGUAGAUAUCACUUGGAACGCCAAAGGUGAAAACAGUCUGCUGGGGAUCUGCUGACGCUGAGACACGAAAGCCAGGGGAGCGAACGGG
rnacentral:rRNA from 1 species